AAGACUAUAGACCUGCGGAGUACCUGCGGAAGGAUCAUUAAUGAGAAACUGCCCCUCGCGGGUAGAUCUCCCACCCUUUGUAAACUUACCUUUGUUGCUUUGGCAGGCCCGUCUCCGGACCGCCGGCUUCGGCUGGCCAGUGCCUGCCAGAGGAUUCUAAAACUCUGUCUGUCAGUGUUGUCUGAGUCUAUAUACAAUCGUUAAAACUUUUAGCAAUGGAUCUCUAGAUCGGAAGAGCAC
rnacentral:misc_RNA from 1 species